UACUUUUCCGAAAGGUAUAACAAUCUACUUACCUGUUUUGACUUCCACAAGCUAACACUGGACUUCUUCCGAAGGUUGAACCUCGUUUCUAACUACGACGGUAGUUCAAGUCCACCUAAUUGCGUUCUGUUUCACGGACUUCUAUUUAGGACACUUGACUGCUGUUUAUGUCAGUGUCAAAGGUUAUUUCUAUAGGGGCCCCGCCUCCAGGUCCGAAUGUUGCUACUUUAGGGGUAAUUCAAUCCAGUUGAACUACCACUAGCGUAACCGAGGGAACGGUUACAGGAACGACUUGAUGAAGUUGUACUUCUAAGAACAAGACCCCUAAGCUCUUCUGACUGUUUAUCAUCAUUCAAUAACGAUGACUUUCUUUUGUAUCGGUCCCUCGAACUCUUCUGGCUCGAACUCUAACUAAAUAACCUUACACUUGAAUUUAGUCACUCAUGACUUAGCCUUUUGUUCCGAGAACUUCUACGUGUUUUAGGAAGUGGAAGAUCACCCUGUAGUUUUUGAGAUCGGUUCGGACGCUGUAGUUUUCAAGAUCGGUUCGGACUCUGUAGUUUUCAAGAUCGGUACGGACUCUAGACACCUUGUAGUAGAAGGGGAUUUCUUGUUCCCCACGAGUGAGGAACGUUCGAAAGACACCCCGUCCUUCGACUACGAUUGCCACAUCUGAACUACCUACAACAUUGUCGAGGACAAGCGUCACAUUGUCGUCAGAGUAGCCCCCUCUCACAACGUACAGGACCUCAACAACGACUUCGAGUCCAACGACAUCGACGUCUACACCGGGGUAACUUCGGAAGACUUCCUUGACCCAGACUUUAACUACGGGUGACAGACUGCGGCCUCGGACCAAACAGGGUACUAUUACAAUCAAGGUACUUUCGACUACCGUCGUUACGGAACAGUUGGUCCGUCACGAGUGUCGUAUAGCUGUCGGUAUUGAAUUAGGGAAGUUAAUAACGACACUUGUUACUAUAUCGUUUUCUUAAAUUACUUGACCAAAAGUUUGGAAACGGAAUACCAGUUGGUACAGAACCAAAUAGGUCACUUUACUUCUUACUGGACUCACAGUCUUUCUUCGAACCGUAUGUAUUUUUAUCUGAUUCUAAGUUUCUCGUUCGUGAAUGGAAGUUCAAGUUCCACGACGCUGUGGACACCUUUCUCCUACACGCCGAGGAGAGACAUUCUUUCGUCGCGGGUUUCAGAUUAUUUGCGUGACUAGUCUCGUUGGCACGUAGUGUCUCACCUAGAGUCUCCGUUGCGAGCAGAUUAGCGAGAGCUAACCCGUACGGACGACCAUUAGACUCAUGCAAAGGAUGGUGUCUUUAUAGUCUACAACGUUUGUUCUACAAAUGUCUUAAAGUCAAAUUCGCAACGUCUUUAAUGAACUUUUACGGUCGUAAUUAAUAUCUACUUUUUCUCUUUCUUUCACGAUCGAAACAGUCGUUCUUACCAAACUAACUCCUAGGACAAAGUCAACUCUUCCUCGCCAGUCACUAUUUAGGUACCUGCGUACUUCUCUUCCUUCAAAAAUACGUCUACGAACGAAGUAAACCGUUCUUAAAGAGAUUUUAGAGGUUAAAAGAUGUCGUGUUCUGUUGUCGACUAACACAACUCAAGAUGAUGUUCGUGGUAUUUAGACUGUCAAAGGCUCUUCACUUCUUUGAAGACCUAGAAGCCGUCGUUGUUGGGUGACCGUUAAUGGAUCCUUGUUUUAGACCUUUCUUUACCUUAGGACUCUUACGACGUAGAGAACUAUACGAACCUUUACGACGUAGUCAGCACCGACGGGUACCAGAACUAAUACGUUUGUCUCAUCUCUUUCUAUGACGUUUCAGAUAGUAAGCCUGAAGAACAUCCAGACUACAAAGCCGACACCGGUUUCCUAGAAACCUAUUCCUACCGUAACGAUUACAUAGAGACGUGCUCUCCCUUAGACAUCGACGACUACAGAACCGUCCAUAUACACCUUGAGAGAGGGGACUUCCUUACCCGAGUACGUAAUGGUCAAGACGACUAGUACCGGUUUUCUAUCCACGGUGUUCUUACCUCAUAGAAUAUCGUUGAGGUCUCCGUCUGUUCUCGAAACUACUCCUUCUGCUAGAGAGUCUGGUCCUUACGCUUCAACUGAGUCAACUAACCAUGCUGUUACUCUUCAGUGACAAGUAGCUCCGAGACUUAUUGGUACCCUUCCUAAAACGAGCUUAAAGAAGCAUACACUUCUCGUUCAGUAUACUCGUCACGUUCCAUAAAAAGUCGUUCCGAGCGUAAAGUGAACCAAACCUAAACUAGAUAGUCGUCUGAUGGCUACGACCAAACGGCUGUCCACUACGGUCACCUCCAUCCUCACUAUGACUGCUCCGUACACGACGACUUUACCUAAGAGGAUAAACAUCGUGUGUCAGAGGACACCUUUACCUCUACCUUCAAACAGGAAGACGACUAUUUUGGGAAGUCCCCGUAGAAGAUAGACCAUAGCGGAAAUUUGUCAGUCUUUGACUAUCUAGUCUACCCGGUCUAUAACACCUGGAUUGUAAACUCCUUCCACUCUAGUUCCGUCUCCUAUGAUUAUUAACAUUGUAAGGACAACUAGUAUCUGUCAGUUCACUUCGGUGAGUACUUAGCUGUGGAAGUACACGAGGAUAGCUAUAGUUAAGAAGACUCUCGUGUCCCUCAUACCUCUUGUCUCUCGUGUCAUUGGUUCACUCACGCGUACCGUUGCCUCGGUACCGGAGAAGUUGACUCGACGGACACCCUCGUGUGGACCUUUAGUCGAGGUCAGACGUGUUACAACUUCAAUAACUCGGCUCGUUCCACAGACUUUACUAAACGUGAGUCCAUAGGUCGUCCCUUGUACGAGGGCUCUCACCACGUGGGUAGUCGCGACCUUUAAAUUGGUGGGGCCAAAAGAAUGGACCUCAGUAGGUCAGCUCGUUCCACAUACUUCCCUAAACGUGGUUCCUUAGAUCACACCUUCCUGGAAGAGUUGUUCGUGGGAACUCACGUGUGUACUUCCGACCUUUAAACUGGGAGAGACAAACGAAAUGGACCCCUUGUGACAUC
rnacentral:rRNA from 1 species